rnacentral:rRNA from 1 species
UACGGGGGGGGCAAGCGUUGUUCGGAAUUACUGGGCGUAAAGGGCUCGUAGGCGGCCAACUAAGUCGGACGUGAAAUCCCUCGGCUUAACCGGGGAACUGCAUCCGAUACUGGAGGGCUUGAGUUUGGGAGAGGGAUGCGGAAUUCCAGGUGUAGCGGUGAAAUGCGUAGAUAUCUGGAGGAACACCGGUGGCGAAGGCGGCAUCCUGGACCAACACUGACGCUGAGGAGCGAAAGCCAGGGGAGCAAACGGGG